AGACAGAGGUGGCAAGCGUUGUUCGGAUUUACUGGGCGUAAAGAGCAUGUAGGCGGUUAGAUUAGUCAGUUGUGAAAUCCUAUGGCUUAACCAUAGAAUUGCAUCUGAUACUGUCUAGCUAGAGUGCAGAAGAGGAGAGUGGAAUUUCCAGUGUAGCGGUGAAAUGCGUAGAUAUUGGAAGGAACACCGGUGGCGAAGGCGGCUCUCUGGUCUGUAACUGACGCUGAGAUGCGAAAGCGUGGGUAGCAAACAGGAUUAGAUACCCCGGUAGUCC
rnacentral:rRNA from 1 species